AGAGUUUUGAUCAUGGCUCAGAUUGAACGCUGGCGGCAGGCCUAACACAUGCAAGUCGAACGGUAACAGGAAGCAGCUUGCUGCUUUUGCUGACGAGUGGCGGACGGGUGAGUAAUGUCUGGGAAACCUGCCUGAUGGAGGGGGAUUAACUACUGGAAACGGUGGCUAAUACCGCAUAACGUCGCAAGACCAAAGAGGGGGACCUUCGGGCCUCUUGCCAUCAGAUGUGCCCAGAUGGGAUUAGCUUGUUGGUGAGGUAACGGCUCACCAAGGCGACGAUCCCUAGCUGGUCUGAGAGGAUGACCAGCCACCACUGGAACUGAGACACGGUCCAGACUCCUACGGGAGGCAGCAGUGGGGAAUAUUGCACAAUGGGCGCAAGCCUGAUGCAGCCAUGCCGCGUGUAUGAAGAAGGCCUUCGGGUUGUAAAGUACUUUCAGCGGGGAGGAAGGUGUUGUGGUUAAUAACCGCAGCAAUUGACGUUACCCGCAGAAGAAGCACCGGCUAACUCCGUGCCAGCAGCCGCGGUAAUACGGAGGGUGCAAGCGUUAAUCGGAAUUACUGGGCGUAAAGCGCACGCAGGCGGUCUGUCAAGUCGGAUGUGAAAUCCCCGGGCUCAACCUGGGAACUGCAUUCGAAACUGGCAGGCUUGAGUCUUGUAGAGGGGGGUAGAAUUCCAGGUGUAGCGGUGAAAUGCGUAGAGAUCUGGAGGAAUACCGGUGGCGAAGGCGGCCCCCUGGACAAAGACUGACGCUCAGGUGCGAAAGCGUGGGGAGCAAACAGGAUUAGAUACCCUGGUAGUCCACGCCGUAAACGAUGUCUACUUGGAGGUUGUGCCCUUUGAGGCGUGGCUUCCGGAGCUAACGCGUUAAGUAGACCGCCUGGGGAGUACGGCCGCAAGGUUAAACUCAAAUGAUUGACGGGGGCCCGCACAAGCGGUGGAGCAUGUGGUUUAAUUCGAUGCAACGCGAAGAACCUUACCUGGUCUUGACAUUCCACAGAACUUUCCAGAGAUGGACUGGUGCCUUCGGGAACUGUGAGACAGGUGCUGCAUGGCUGUCGUCAGCUCGUGUUGUGAAAUGUUGGGUUAAGUCCCGCAACGAGCGCAACCCUUAUCCUUUGUUGCCAGCGAUUAGGUCGGGAACUCAAAGGAGACUGCCAGUGAUAAACUGGGAGGAAGGUGGGGAUGACGUCAAGUCAUCAUGGCCCUUACGACCAGGGCUACACACGUGCUACAAUGGCGCAUACAAAGAGAAGCGACCUCGCGAGAGCAAGCGGACCUCAUAAAGUGCGUCGUAGUCCGGAUUGGAGUCUGCAACUCGACUCCAUGAAGUCGGAAUCGCUAGUAAUCGUGGAUCAGAAUGCCACGGUGAAUACGUUCCCGGGCCUUGUACACACCGCCCGUCACACCGAUGGGAGUGGGUUGCAAAAGAAGUAGGUAGCUUAACCUUCGGGAGGGCGCUUACCACUUUGUGAUUCAUGACUGGGGUGAAGUCGUAACAAGGUAACCGUAGGGGAACCUGCGGUUGGAUCACCU
rnacentral:rRNA from 1 species